rnacentral:rRNA from 1 species
AACGAACGCUGGCGGCAGGCUUAACACAUGCAAGUCGAGCGCCCCGCAAGGGGAGCGGCAGACGGGUGAGUAACGCGUGGGAACGUACCUUUUGGUUCGGAACAACUCCGGGAAACUGGAGCUAAUACCGGAUAAGCCCUAACGGGGAAAGAUUUAUCGCCGAAAGAUCGGCCCGCGUCUGAUUAGCUAGUUGGUGAGGUAACGGCUCACCAAGGCGACGAUCAGUAGCUGGUCUGAGAGGAUGAUCAGCCACACUGGGACUGAGACACGGCCCAGACUCCUACGGGAGGCAGCAGUGGGGAAUAUUGGACAAUGGGCGCAAGCCUGAUCCAACCAUGCCGCGUGAGUGAUGAAGGCCUUAGGGUUGUAAAGCUCUUUUGUCCGGGAAGAUAAUGACUGUACCGGAAGAAUAAGCCCCGGCUAACUUCGUG